rnacentral:rRNA from 1 species
GCUAUGCAUCCAACGCGUUGGGAGCUCUCCCAUAUGGUCGACCUGCAGGCGGCCGCGAAUUCACUAGUGAUUCGUAUUACCGCGGCUGCUGGCACGUAGUUAGCCGGUGCUUCUUCUUACGGUACCGUCAUCCACGCGAACUAUUAACUCGCGCGAUUUCGUUCCGUCCGAAAGUGCUUUACAACCCGAAGGCCUUCUUCACACACGCGGCAUGGCUGGAUCAGGGUUGCCCCCAUUGUCCAAAAUUCCCCACUGCUGCCUCCCGUAGGAGUCUGGGCCGUGUCUCAGUCCCAGUGUGGCUGGUCGUCCUCUCAGACCAGCUACGGAUCGUCGCCUUGGUAGGCCGUUACCCCACCAACUAGCUAAUCCGGCAUCGGCCGCUCCUCUCGCGCAAGGCCUUGCGGUCCCUUGCUUUCAUCUCUCGAUCUCAUGCGGUAUUAGCCAGUCUUUCGACUGGUUAUCCCCCACAAGAGGACACGUUCCGAUGCAUUACUCACCCGUUCGCCACUCGCCACCAGGAUUGCUCCCGUGCUGCCGUUCGACUUGCAUGUGUAAGGCAUGCCGCCAGCGUUCAAUCUGAGCCAUGAUCAAACUCUAAUCGAAUUCCCGCGGCCGCCAUGGC